GCCCGGCUGGCGUAAUGGUUAACGCGUAAGACUUCUAUGACCAAAGUAAUUUGAAAAUCUUACUUUAGAAGCUCAUCUUAAGAUUGCGAGUUCGAGUCUCGCGUCGGGUU